UACAGAGACUGCAAGCGUUAUUCGGAUUCACUGGGCGUAAAGGGUGCGCAGGCGGUCGGGUGUGUCAGAUGUGAAAUCCCGAGGCUCAACCUCGGAACUGCGUCUGAAACUACUCGACUAGAGUACUGGAGAGGGUAACGGAAUUCACGGUGUAGCAGUGAAAUGCGUAGAUAUCGUGAGGAACACCGAUGGCGAAGGCAGAUCUCUGGGCCGUAACUGACGCUGAGGAGCGAAAGCGUGGGGAGCGAACAGG
rnacentral:rRNA from 1 species